GGUAGUUGCAACCGGGGGUCAAAACCUUCUACAGCAGCCAUUAUAUCUUAAGCUUUAAGACACACUGGGGCUUGUAGCAUAAGUCAGUAGCCAAAGGGCAAUGUGGUCCCGUCAGGUAAAAGCAGUCUCUUGUCAUAGACUACCCUGAAUCUUUUAGUAAGUGGGGCAUUCCU